GGAACUCUGCUCUCAGUGCUCCCUGGACCCUGUCUGUGCCAGGUUCAAGUGCUGGUGAGACAACCCAGGACAUCCACAGCUCCCCAGCUCCCCAUGCCCGGCUCCCGCACGCCCUCCCCACAGGCACGGCGCUGGCAGUGGC